GCAGUACCGUGAGGGAAAGGUGAAAAGAACCCCGAGAGGGGAGUGAAAGAGAACCUGAAACCCUAUGUUUACAAGCAGUUGAAGAGCGUUAAUGCUCGACAGCGUACUUUUUGUAGAACGGUCCGGCGAGUUAUUGUAUGUGGCAAGGUUAAGUACUUUAAAGGUACGGAGCCGUAGGGAGACCGAGUCUUAAUAGGGCGUUUUAGUCGCAUGUAAUAGACCCGAAACCGGGUGACCUACCCAUGGACAGGUUGAAGCGAGAGUAAAAUCUCGUGGAGGACCGAACCCGUGAACGUUGAAAAGUUCUGGGAUGAGCUGUGGGUGGCGGAGAAAUUCCAAUCGAACUCGGAUAUAGCUGGUUCUCCCCGAAAUAGCUUUAGGGCUAGCCUUAAAUUAUUCUACCGGAGGUAAAGCACUGAAUGGACUAGGGGCCUUACCGGGUUACCGAAUCCUAUCAAACUAAGAAUGCCAGAUAGAAGAUGCUUAGGAGUCAGACUAUGUGAGAUAAGUUUCAUAGUCAAAAGGGAAACAGCCCAGACCAUCAGCUAAGGUCCCAAAAUCGUAGUUAAGUGGAAAAGGAUGUGGAUUUGCUAAGACAGCUAGGAUGUUGGCUUAGAAGCAGCCAUUCAUUCAAAGAGUGCGUAAUAGCUCACUAGUCGAGUGAAUCCGCGCCUAAAAUUAUCGGGGCUAAAACUACGUACCGAAGCAAUGGAUAUAUACUUUUAGUAUAUAUGGUAGGGGAGCUUACUAUAGUAGGUUGAAGCAUGAUCGUAAGGACAUGUGGACGAGAUAGUAGUGAGAAUGCCGGAAUAAGUAGCGCAAGUAAAGUGAGAAUCUUUACCGUCGAAAACCUAAGGUUUCCUGGGGAAGGGUCGUCCGCCCAGGGUAAGUCAGGACCUAAGCUGAGGCUGAAAAGCGUAAGCGAUGGACAACAGGUUGAUAUUCCUGUACUACCGUUACUCGGUAUUAGAGAUGUGGGGACGCAGGGGGAUAAGUUAAGCGAGCAGCUGGAAAAGCUCGUCCAAGGGAAGUAGAUAGUUUAGUAGGAAAAUCCGCUAGACGUUUCGAAAGCCUGAUGGGGAGGGAAAUUAAGUACCGAAGUAACUGAUUCCGCACUGACAAGAAAAGCCACUAUCGAGAGUAAAGGUACCUGUACCGCAAACCGACACAGGUAGGUGAGGAGAGAAUCCUAAGACGAACGGGAGAAGCAUUGUUAAGGAACUCGGCAAAUUAACCCCGUAAGUUAGCGAGAAGGGGUGCCUCAGAGAUGAGGCCGCAGUGAAAAGGCCCAAGCAACUGUUUAUCAAAAACACAGGUCUCUGCUAAAUCGAAAGAUGAAGUAUAGGGGCUGACGCCUGCCCGGUGCUGGAAGGUUAAGGGGAACUGUUAGGAGUAAUCCGAAGCAGAGAACUUAAGCCCCAGUAAACGGCGGCCGUAACUAUAACGGUCCUAAGGUAGCGAAAUUCCUUGUCAGGUAAGUUCUGACCCGCACGAAUGGCGUAAUGA
rnacentral:rRNA from 1 species